UUCCUGGCCAUGUGAGUUUGUGCACGGGUCGAGGGUGCUUUGCUGCGUUUGUGUGGACAUCUUGUGUGCCGCUGUGCCAUUGAUGUGUGUGUGUUCUUUUCCUCUUUUUUUGUUCUGUAGUGGAGAGAGAUACUGUGGACUGUAUGUGACGCCCUUUUCUUUUUGUCCCUAUGAAAAAGCUGGUGAAUAAAUCCUCCUCAACUCAAAUCCUGUGUGUUCAUCACGAAAAAAAGACACAACGAAGAACAGUGACUGUUACAUAUGUAAGAGUACUUUGUACACACUAGAAGAAAGAGUACCUGUGAGUACUUGAAAGCUGCAAUCAGUUCGCAGCGAAAAUGUAUGUCUUCUCAUACAUCGGAAUGAUGUGCAGGUUGUACACUGCCUUCCGCCCGAUUGUAGCUGAGAUAGGCCCCAGCGCCCCCCGCGACCCCAAAGGGAAUAAGCGGAACCUGCUUGCUGGGCUGUACUGGAAUGAAAACUCGAGCCGCCUUAUAGCCACUAGACAAGUGGGUGCUGAGCGCUAUACAGUACGCUACCCGAAGUAUAAAGCAGGGGGCCAUGUUGGCAAGAAAAUCGCGACAGAGCCAACAUACCGCUAUGUAGAAGAAUUGAUCAGGGAGGUUUUUGCUGGCUGCAGACAGACCCCUGAUGAGAGAACACCAGUCAGCGUCACCGUGGAUGUGCCUCCCUUCCUCUGCGAUGAACUGGGGAAGCCAGACAAGGAGGAAGCCAUCGCCAAGCACAGGAGUCGCUUCGCUAAGUGUUAACUACAGUGGCCAUGUGGAUUCUGUUGCAGUCACGGCACGUCUUGGAACCCUGUGUAGUCCAUCGAUGGAAAUGUUGUUCUAAUUUCAUGUACUACACAAGCUGGUAGUGCCACCUUUAUUCAUCUCCUUUCCCAGAUAUCCCCAGCAGAAGCGGACAAACUGUCGAUAUGCUGUGUAUCGUCUCCACCUGGAAGUACAAAAUAGUUAAAAGUAAAUUACGGCACCUGUUAUUAUACAGACAUGGAUACACAGUGACUCACUGUUCUCUGAGAUGCAAAAGAUAUUGUCAUGCAUUCUAUUCAUUUGUCAUUUACUAUUGCAGUAAAUCGUAAAUAUUGUUGACAUCUACGGUCCAUGUAUGUAAUACUUCUAUGAUAUAUAAUGUCAUGUACAUUGUAGCUCAGUACAUUUCACAGAAUAAGAAUAAGAAAGUGCUC